rnacentral:rRNA from 1 species
AGAGUUUGAUCCUGGCUCAGGACGAACGCUGGCGGCGGGCCUAACACAUGCAAGUCGAACGAGAUGCCUUCGGGUAUCUAGUGGCGAACGGGUGAGUAACACGUGAGGAACCUGCCCCGAAGACGGGGAUAACCGUGGGAAACUGCGGCUAAUACCCGAUACCCCCGACGCGGCGCAUGCCGCGACGAGGAAAAGCUCCGGUGCUUCGGGAGGGCCUCGCGGCCUAUCAGCUAGUUGGUGAGGUAACGGCUCACCAAGGCUUCGACGGGUAGCUGGUCUGAGAGGACGAUCAGCCACACUGGGACUGAGACACGGCCCAGACUCCUGCGGGAGGCAGCAGUGGGGAAUCUUGCGCAAUGGGCGAAAGCCUGACGCAGCCACGCCGCGUGGGGGACGAAGGCCCUCGGGUUGUAAACCCCUUUCAGCAGGGACGAAACUGACGGUACCUGCAGAAGAAGCUCCGGCCAACUACGUGCCAGCAGCCGCGGUAACACGUAGGGAGCAAGCGUUGUCCGGAUUUAUGGGGCGUAAAGGGCUCGUAGGCGGUUUGGUAAGUCAGGUGUGAAAGCUCAGGGCUCAAACUCUGAGAAAGCCAUCUGAAACUGCCAUGACUAGAGUUCGGUAGAGGAGCGUGAAAUU